rnacentral:rRNA from 1 species
GACGAACGCUGGCGGCGUGCCUAAUACAUGCAAGUCGAGCGAACUGAUCAAAAGCUUGCUUUUGAACGGUUAGCGGCGGACGGGUGAGUAACACGUGGGCAACCUGCCUGUAAGACAGGGAUAACUUCGGGAAACCGGGGCUAAUACCUGAUAACCCUUCUCUUCGCAUGGAGAGAAGUUAAAAGAUGGCUUCGGCUAUCACUUACAGAUGGGCCCGCGGCGCAUUAGCUAGUUGGUGAGGUAAAGGCUCACCAAGGCGACGAUGCGUAGCCGACCUGAGAGGGUGAUCGGCCACACUGGGACUGAGACACGGCCCAGACACCUACGGGUGGCAG